GACGAAUGCUGGCGGCGUGCUUAACACAUGCAAGUCGAACGGAAAGGCCCUGCUUGCCGGGUACUCGAGUGGCGAACGGGUGAGUAACACGUGGGUGAUCUGCCCUGCACUCCGGGAUAAGCCUGGGAAACUGGGUCUAAUACCGGAUAGGAGCCAUUUUUAGUGUGAUGGUUGGAAAGUUUUUUCGGUGUAGGAUGAGCUCGCGGCCUAUCAGCUUGUUGGUGGGGUAAUGGCCUACCAAGGCGGCGACGGGUAGCCGGCCUGAGAGGGUGGACGGCCACAUUGGGACUGAGAUACGGCCCAGACGCCGACGGGAGGCAGCAGUGGGGAAUAUUGCACAAUGGGCGCAAGCCUGAUGCAGCGACGCCGCGUGGGGGAUGACGGCCUUAGGGUUGUAAACUCCUUUCGCUAGGGACGAAGCUUUUUGUGACGGUACCUAGAUAAGAAGCACCGGCUAACUACGUG
rnacentral:rRNA from 1 species